rnacentral:rRNA from 1 species
CCUACGGGUGGCUGCAGUGAGGAAUAUUGGUCAAUGGACGAGAGUCUGAACCAGCCAAGUAGCGUGAAGGAUGACUGCCCUAUGGGUUGUAAACUUCUUUUAUAUGGGAAUAAAACAGGGUAUGCAUACCCUCUUGUAUGUACCAUAUGAAUAAGGAUCGGCUAACUCCGUGCCAGCAGCCGCGGUAAUACGGAGGAUCCGAGCGUUAUCCGGAUUUAUUGGGUUUAAAGGGAGCGUAGGUGGAUUGUUAAGUCAGCGGUAAAAUGUCCGGGCUCAACCCGGGCCGGCCGUUGAAACUGGGGAUCUUGAGUGGGCGAGAAGUAUGCGGAAUGCGUGGUGUAGCGGUGAAAUGCUUAGAUAUCAUGAAGAACUCCGAUUGCGAAGGCAGUUCACUGGACUGCAACUGACACUGAGGCUCGAAAGUGUGGGUAUCAAACAGGAUUAGAUACCCUUGUAGUC